rnacentral:lncRNA from 1 species
CGACCUUGUUGGUCGCCGACGGUGGUCGUUAGUUUGGUAGCCAACUCUCCUCUCGCAAAACUCAUUCAGAUCACGUUAAUCGUAGGUGGUGAACUCCCUGGACGUAGAAGGAGAUCAAAUUUGUCUCUUUGAUUCAAAGUUUGGUUGGAAGUUGGAACUAAUUUAUUUUGGUUUCAUUUGUGCUUAUCUGGGUUUUGUUGCCAUUGAAAGAGAUGGAAACAGUGGUCUGCAAAACCAUCUUAGUUGUUAUUAUUUUUUAAUUAUUUUGAUGUGUUGG